AUUGAACGCUGGCGGCAGGCCUAACACAUGCAAGUCGAGCGGAUGAAGGGAGCUUGCUCCUGGAUUCAGCGGCGGACGGGUGAGUAAUGCCUAGGAAUCUGCCUGGUAGUGGGGGAUAACGUCCGGAAACGGGCGCUAAUACCGCAUACGUCCUGAGGGAGAAAGUGGGGGAUCUUCGGACCUCACGCUAUCAGAUGAGCCUAGGUCGGAUUAGCUAGUUGGUGGGGUAAAGGCCUACCAAGGCGACGAUCCGUAACUGGUCUGAGAGGAUGAUCAGUCAAACUAGAACUGAGACACGGUCCAGACUCCUACGGGAGGCAGCAGUGGGGAAUGUUGGACGAUGGGCGAAAGCCUGAUCCAGCCAUGCCGCGUGUGUGAAGAAGGUCUUCGGAUUGUAAAGCACUUUAAGUUGGGAGGAAGGGCAGUAAGUUAAUACCUUGCUGUUUUGACGUGACCAACAGAAUAAGCAACGGCUAACUUCGUG
rnacentral:rRNA from 1 species